CUACAUGCGAUAACUAAUUUUCCACUUUGACAAACGUGUUCAGUAACCUCAGAAGAACCAUGCUAAAGAUUUCGGGGAGAAUGGAAUGAUCGAUUACUCAGGAAGUUCCACAGAGCAUCAAGGAAGCUGCAAUUCUCUUGAAAGGUUCUGCUUUUCUGUGAGCCAAUAGCUGAGGAGAGGUAUCAUCGCAGAGUAUCUUCGCUAAAGGAGGGAGAGAGACAGCGAGAGAGAGGGAUGACUCACUCACACGUACAGGCCCCUCUCCCUUGGUCUCCCUCGGAGCGGUUGAUGACCUCAUAUCUUGUCCGGUAUUGUCGCCGCCCUGUUUGGAUAUUUCUCCCUCCUGAUUGGAUGGCUGAUCGUCAGCGUCCACCCUCACUUCCGGUGCAGGCUCCGCCUCCUGUUGGUGUUGAGCAGCAGGACCGUCUUCAGAAGAGGACGUUCCCUCCGGCCGAUUGCCUCCCUUCUGCUCCCAUGACCUCACUUUCUGCCCAUGCCCGGCCUCUUCCUCAUCUAGCUCCUCUCUCUCUCUCUGAGCU